rnacentral:rRNA from 1 species
CGUGUAGGCGGUUCCUUAAGUUUGCUGUGAAAUCUCCCGGCUUAACCGGGAGGGUGCGGUGAAUACUGAGGGACUAGAGUACGGGAGAGGAAAGUGGAAUUCCUGGUGUAGCGGUGAAAUGCGUAGAUAUCAGGAGGAACACCGGUGGUGUAGACGGCUUUCUGGACCGUAACUGACGCUGAGACACGAAAGCAUGGGUAGCAAACA